GACCCUAUGGCUGCAUCUGGUGCCUGCAUUGUGCGGGAGAAUCGGGAAUCCGGUGCAAUUCCGGAACGUGCCCAACGCUGUGACGGGGACGGCAAGCGCAAGACGCCACUGGGAAAUCCGGGAAGGCGCGCCUGCCGGCGGAACCGAAGUCAGAAGACCGGCCAGAUGUCAUAGCCUUGCC
rnacentral:ncRNA from 1 species